UACAGAGGGGGCAAGCGUUGUUCGGAAUUACUGGGCGUAAAGGGCGCGUAGGCGGCCUGUUAAGUCGAACGUGAAAUCCCCCGGGCUCAACCCGGGAACUGCGUCCGAUACUGGCAGGCUUGAAUCCGGGAGAGGGAUGUGGAAUUCCAGGUGUAGCGGUGAAAUGCGUAGAUAUCUGGAGGUACACCGGUGGCGAAGGCGGCAUCCUGGACCGGUAUUGACGCUGAGGCGCGAAAGCCAGGGGAGCAAACGGG
rnacentral:rRNA from 1 species